GGUAGGAUGGCUGAGAACAGGCGGCGGAUUGUAGCUCCGAUCACAGAGGUUUAAGCCCUCUUCGUACCA
rnacentral:tRNA from 1 species